UACGUAGGGUGCAAGCGUUGUCCGGAAUUAUUGGGCGUAAAGAGCUCGUAGGCGGUCUGUCGCGUCGGCUGUGAAAUCCCGAGGCUCAACCUCGGGUCUGCAGUCGAUACGGGCAAACUGGAGUGUUGCAGGGGAGACUGGAAUUCCUGGUGUAGCGGUGAAAUGCGCAGAUAUCAGGAGGAACACCGGUGGCGAAGGCGGGUCUCUGGGCAACAACUGACGCUGAGGAGCUAAAGCGUGGGGAGCGAACAGG
rnacentral:rRNA from 1 species